UGGGGCGUCGCCAAGCGGAAAGGCAGCGGCCGUUGGAGCCGCUAUUCGAAGGUUCGAAUCCUUCCGCCCCAGCCA
rnacentral:tRNA from 1 species